CUUUAAUUAACUCAGUCCUCUUCCUGUACAACACUAUUUGAUAAUUUUAACAACAUUUUGCUUGUGAAUAUGUGUGAUCCAAGCAGGCCUGAAAUUCUUUAGCAACGGUUUUUUCGACCACGUCAUUAAAGCAGCAUAGUUCGGCGGGAAAGGAUGCAUGUAAUCAGCUCCGGGAAUUUACCGAGCUGUUUUAGGCCCCGAAUAUAGUAAAAUGCGUAAAAAUUGGAUGCUUGAAUUCCAAAAUAUGGUCAACCACCAGUCGGAGGAAUCGCGGAGGUGGCAGAGGCUAUGGCCGAUGCAAAUGCCACAGCAAGAUUUUCUUUUCCGACCUAAAGCAUCGCAUGUUGAUAGCUCGAGGGACCUGUGGCUCCGGAAAACAAGUUUCAAGUGAUAAUUGUUUCGGAGAUGAUCACGGCCGGAAGCCAUAGGAAUUUGAUCAUUGCGCGUCUACUGAUCGGGCGCUAUCGACGUGACCAGUGAUGAUAACAAAGGAUAAAAUAAAGAAGUAAAAUAUGUGUUAAUUCAAAUAGUGAUAAUGUGAAGUGAAAAUUAAUGAAAAGUUUUAAAAAUAA